AAAGAGUGAGGAGAAGCCCCCAGUGCUCUUAAAGCCUCAGCCUAGGACUGUCACCUCUGCUUAGCUUACUAUCAGUGGGGUGAGGAAAUAUACAUCACCUUUUGUGGAAGGAACGUCAAGGUCAUACAGCUAAAGAUGUGGAGACAGGGAAAGGACGGAAAUUGCUUUCAUCUUUCAAAGUAAAGCCAUGGAGAGAAGGCUGGAUCAACCAGGGUGUUGAGAUAUUAGAGAAAAUCUCAGUCUUUCAAUGAGAGGGACAAUUGAAGAAGUUUCCCAGGCUGCAUCAACUGCAACGCCAUUGUGUCACCUGCAGAAGUUAGCUGCACCUCAUGCUGCUGCUGUCCAUGCUGACUGCAGUCCCCUGGGCAUGUUUACGUUUUGUCUAAGUUCUUAGCACUGAUUUUUUCUGGCAUUCAGGUUUCACAUCUGUAACCGCUCUUGCCAGAGGUAGAAGCUUUGUUGAGAUUGAGGACUAUGCUGGACACACAGUAAUUCCAUUAUCACCAGAUUAAUUCGUAAUGAAUGAACACAUGACGCUCUGCUCUCUCUCUGUCUCUCUCUCUCUUUCUCUGUACAUACACACACAUAUAUACAUCAUACAUAUAUUUCCCCUAGAGAUCUAUUCUGUCACUUCUCUUACUACCAUUCACUCCCUUCCCAUUUCUGCUGGAAUCCUGGAUCACCAGCCUGCCUCUCUCAUUCUUGCCAAAGCUCCACCGCCUGUGGGUCUCCACCAGCCUUUCUCUUCAGGUUGCUCAAGACCAAAAUUCAGGAGCUGUAGCAUUCAGCUUGGCAGGCUCUAGAGAGACUGACCUCUGCAGAUGGUUUAAAGGGAGAAGCUCAAGGGUCCACAGUUCACAGGGCUGCCAAUCAGGCCUGUGCAGAAAACUCAACAGUCUAAAAGAAUAUAUGAAGACAGAACCUCAACCUAGAAGAAAUGGACAAAUUCCCAGACACAUCAAGGAAUUCCUAGACAAACUAUCAAAACUGAAUCAUGAUUAGAUAGAAAAUCUGAACAGAUCAAUAUAAGUAAAGAGAUUAAAGCAGUAAUAAACUCUCCCAUCAAAGAAAAGCUCAGGA
rnacentral:lncRNA from 1 species